UAUGUCGGGAACCAGGUCACAAGAGCACCACAUGCCCACGAAGGGGUGAUCUUCCUCGGAAAGAAGGAAAGAAGCAAAAUGCUCAAACUGUGGCAUCGGUGGUCACAGGAAGAACACAUGCAAUCACCCUAAGGUUGUUCUGCAUGUUGAAAAUGCUACUUCAGAGCAGCAUGCGAUCUGCAUCUGACCCUUGUUACAAUGAAAAUUUGUAGUCUGCUGUUGAGGGCUCAGUAGCCAUUUUCUAAGGAGGACUGUUUCAGUAAUAAACUGCUUAGUCAGUCUGUACUGCUGUAAUCAGUUUGUGUGUCUUUGUUUUCUUGUGUGUGAUGAACAAUAUAUGUGUAAGGUCCCUUUGGAUGUAAUGUGAUGUGUGCAUGAUCACCUACAUUUUCAUUUUAAUGUGUUUCUGUUGGAAAAGAAAAAUCGUUUAGUGCCUUGCCAUGAGGAAUAAUUUCAGUUGGUUUUCCAUCAGUAUGUGCGUCUUGCUUGUCGAUCAAUUUCUUUUACUCCGGAUACGUAUGGGCAGUGACAACGCAUUGCUUUUAAGUGAAUACAGGCAAACAGGUAUUAAUGCACUUCUGACGUUGGUACAACAUUACGUAAACGCCCGUCCCCUGUGUCUCCAACGUCCGUCUGCAUGCACUGCGUCAACGUCGCUGCAUCCGUCCACAUACGCAUUAAUUAUCCAGCGUAGACAGGCCGCAAUACCGCUUACAUCACAUAUCCCAUGACCAGUUGACGGUUUGCGAUACCGGGAGCGAGCGAGCCCGUCCACGCCAUCGAAUUUUCGGGUUCUCAACAUCUUCUUAAUUAUCCUUUGAAUGAGAAUAUGAAAUACAAAGGUUCGGUCUGGUGGAUGCAUCGAUGUGUCCUUGUACACCUGCUUGACUAUAUUAUAAAUAUGUGGUGUGUUAUCUUAGUGUAAUCUACAUACGUACUAUCUAAUUGUUUGAUUAGGGCCAGAUGUGCAGUCUAGAAAACUAUUAAGGUCUGGGUUUCUAUGAUUAGGUACAAUAGGUACAAUCUAGAACACUAUUAAGGGCCGGGUUCAGCAUAUUAAAUGACGUGAUGAAAUCUGGAAUGUUGUCAACAAUAGCUAGCUGAAUUGUUGUACCUCUAAGUGGUUAUUUUUCACUAAUAAAUUAUUUUCUAAAAAAGUAUAAAGUAUCAGGAACGACAUCCAGAAGUUCCACCGUGUCACGCACAUCUGCUACGAGUACUCCACGCCUACAUGGUCUGGCCGUGCCGACGACGGCGACGAGCUCGACCCCAACACCAAGUGGAAGAUGCUGGAAAGCUGGCCACCAGAAGGAAAUCAUGCACAUGACCGGAGACCUCUCCAUCGAUAAGAGGUGCUUUUAACUGAUCAUCACGUACAACCAACUUACUUAUGUACGAUUUAAUAGUGAUUAAUCAUUCCUAUAUAAUAUGCUAAAGAAAACAUAUCAAUUUGCAUAUCAAAUAUCCUCUUAUUUAAUAAAUGGCUGGCUUGGUAGCUUCCGAUCGUAAUUCUGUUCUGGUUUUGUUAAUUAUCAUCAUGUGCCGACAAACUAUACAAGCUGACAACUACAAAAAAAAUAUACAAGCUUUCUUUGCCUAGUGCCCGUCAGUCAAGUCUUUAGAAGUAUUUUGGUCUUUGCAAUCUAAUUUUGCUGGAGAUUUCUUUAUUUGUACUUGAUGUCAUUUGUAGUAAGACUUCACACACAAAAAAACUAUCCAAUAUCCUUUUUUAAAUUGUCCAUUAUGUAUGCGCUUGCAUGCGUGUGCGUGUAGGUUAGUGUGUCCUUUUCCAGUGGUAUGUUAUAGAAGACCUCCCAUUCUAUGAAUCAAAGAUUGCCCCUAGCCGGUAGCAAGGGGCAGUUGCACCGAGGUGCACAAGUUCUUUCUAAUUAUGCCAUGACUGGCUGUUGUGAGGAUAUGACAGUUAUCUUUUGCGAGUACGUAGGAUAACAUGCAAAUAGACAAUGGUUCGAUCUAGUGGCGACAUUGCUAUUUUGUGUACACCUCCUUGACUAAAUAAUAAUUGUAAAUGGGCAUUUGAUCCCAAUCACAUUCAACAUCUCCAUGGACGUUACUCCGGCUGAUAGUUAUUUCCCAACAACAAAAAAAGAUGAGGGAUGUUGGUGUUUGAGAAAGCCAUAUGCAAUAUGGCAAAAAAAAUCAAUUCUUCCAUGUUCCAUCAUAAAAAUAGGUAUUGUUCAACUUGCUGCGCAUACGUCGACAUGGAAGAAUAUAAUGUACAUCAUGUUUGUCUCUUUAAACUGCUAUAGUUGCGUGUAACCUAAGAAAGACCGAAUGAAGCGUAUGUCUGGAGUCUUAAUUCGUUAUUAUUAGAUAGGAAGAUUUUUUUUCUACUGACAGUUUAUUAUACUCGACACUUGUUGUAGCAUAGGCCUCGAAACAUGUGGUAACUAAGACCGGUGGAGCCAUCUAUUUUGAGUCAUAAUUAAUCCUAGCUAGGUAGAAAAUAUUUACUUGGUACUUUAUUGUAAGACAUGUCUCAAAUGUGUGGUAACUAACUUCUGCAUGUACAAACUUAUUAGAACCUUCAGUGAGAAAAUUGGUUCGUAAAUGGAUCAAAUGACUAAACUAAUUUGGUAGGCUGAAGAUAUUAAUUUGCAAUCGAGCUCCGGCCUUAUUCCACGGCUGUCACAGGCACACGGUGCUCCCAGCCCUACACUACACCACCAAGCGGAAACUACCGGCCUCCAUCGAGCCCAUGGCACUAUACUGCAUGCCGAAGCAGGGGGAAUUCCUAAGUGCCUCGUGUGUAGGUCAACAUGAUAAAUCCAUCCCGUAGUAGGAAAGCUGAGGUGGAAAACUAUAAAGCUUCAGUUAAAUUUUGCAGAAAAAUCAAGCGAUAACCUUCACUACCAAAUUAUAAAUCUAAAGUGUGCCUAGAGCACUGCCGAACGAGGACAUGUUCGAAAAAGGUGAAUCGAUACGAUUCAGAGGCAAGGCAAACCCCUAAGGACCACUCCAACGCAGGAAAGAUGAUAACCACACUAGUCUGACAUCAACGGCAUGAUUAUUGAAUCACUGCAGCCUGAUGUUGACACCACACGACAUGGAGAUGCAACGUCCAUGAUCACUAAAAGGCCCCUCCACCACCAUUUAGCAUGUCUUCGAAGUUCGUCCCACCACAUCUUUUGUGACACCAUGAGAAUUGAGAAGAAAUCUCACAACCGUAGUGAAUUCACUGUCAUGCAUUGCCAAGAGGCCACCAUCGGCAAUAACGAGGGAGAGUGGCAGGUGAGGGGGAAGGUCGCUACAGCAGGCUAUGGUUGCCGCAGGCCCGUCUCUUGUCUUGCAUUAAUUUGUCUAGGUGGACUUUACCAAAUUUGCAUGUUGCAAAUUAAUCUUCAGUGUGUGUGUGUGUGUGUGUGUGUGUGUGUGUGUGUNNNNNNNNNNNNNNNNNNNNNNNNNNNNNNGAGUUUCACUAGUGUUAGGUUUUUUAGGAGAAAACUGUAGGUUUCCCUGCUUUGUAUGUGUAUAUAUAUUUUAAAAGAUUUAUAGAUAAAAAUAUAAAAUUAGUAUUGGUACAAGGCUAUAAGACCAGUACUAAUGUACUACAAAGUAGUUGAAGUUUUCAGUUCAAUAUGACAAUCCUGACUAACCCUGUAUUUGUGUAAGCCCACUACAAAUGUACCAAAAAUUAGAUGAAGUUUAUCUGCUAGACUCGAACUCACAUCGUCGAGCUAGAAAUUUUCUGACUACUGCCACCCUAUUUUUUUUCUCAAACAAACCUAAAUUGUUUAUUUAGUAUUUAGUAUAAAUUAGUCAUUCUUACAAUAUGUUCGACGAAAAAUAUCAACUUGCAUAACCAGUCCCCCCCCGGUGCGUUAAUAAUUCAUUAAUGUGUAGUGAGUUUGGUAGAUUAUAGUUUUAUGGUUGCACUGGUUUUGCUCAUUAAUCACCAUGUGCUGUCAAUUUUUGAAAUUUUAUGUCUGGCCUGCCCCCUACAGUAUAGUCUCUAGAAGUAUUGAUUCUAGUUAAAGCCUGCUAUUUUCUAUACUAAUACAAUGGGAUGUGCUGCCAAGUUUACAAGACAAUUCCAUUGCUUUAGGACCUACUGCAAAUUACUCAUUCCUAGCAAGUCAACAUAUAUACAGAAAUAUCAAUUCACAUACGCAAACCUCCCCUUUUAUUAAUCCAUGAUUGCCGCCUUAAUUAAUAAUGCGAGAUGGCAAAGGGUAGUUGUUGCGAGGGUCACAAGAACUUUCAGAUGUCAAGGGCCCAAUAUAGUGAGGUGGACAAGUUCUUGCUAACUAUUGUAUGAACGGCUGUUGUGACAAUAUGAAAAUUGUCGCUUGCGAGUACAUAGUAUAAUCUAGAAAAUACACAGGUUCAAUCUUGUGAACGCAUCACUAUUUAUUUGUACACUACUUGAAUAUAUAUAACUAUAUAUGUGAUGUGCUUAGAUAGUAUAGUCUACGUACUAUCUAAAUUGUUUGAUUAGGACCAAUAUUGUAGUAGGUUAGAAGACUACGAUGGUCUGGGUUAGGCAUGCAAAUUUUUCUCUGAACUUGUUUGACUACAUGCAUAUGACCAUUGAGUUGGCAUUUUUGGAACUGAAGAAAGACCCACCGAGUCAUCUGUUUGGAGUCAUAAUUAGUAAUUGUUUGCCAUGUAGAAACUUUACUGAACAAUUCCCUUGUUAAGGACCUAGUGCAAAUUACUCAGUCCUAGAAACUUAAUAUAUAUAAAGAAAUAUAAAUUCGCAAACAUGAACCUCCUCUGUUAUUAAUUCAUAAGAUUGCACCUCAAUUUAGAAUGUUAUAGUAGCAAAGGGGCGGUUGUAGUGAGGUUCUCAACGAGAGCGGCGUUGUAGCGGACGAGCUCGCCUGCCAAUGGACGAGGGACAUGUUGCACCGGGCUUUGAAUGCAAUCGUAUAUGUCAGGAGACCCAUACAUAACGUGGAACAGUGGUAUAUGGUCGGGCCGACGUUUCAUCUGACGAUUCGGUCACGGCGCACGGGCCAACUGUUCCCAUGGUACAGAACAGGAGUGCCGGUUCAUGAUAGCUGGCCACGUUCCGUCUUGUGUCAGGAAGCGGUGAAUUUGCAAUGGAUAAGUAUGUCACAGCGGCUCCACCAUGCUCCACCUGACGCCUGUAGUAGUACCAAUUUUUUUUUAUUCUUUUGGACGACCGCAGCAGUCAAAAGCAGAGGCAAUGCCAUGGCGACGGCGGAGGCGGGACGGGAGCCGAGGGCUUCGAGUUUCCAUCAGAUCCUAUUGACAGGUAACUUCCAUGUCUCCCGCUCGUGCAGCGUACUGCUGUCCGUUGUGGCUCGCCGCGUGAACUUGGUACUCUGUUCCCUUCUUUGGCAUAGGUUUCACGUGCUGGAUCUUGGUGGCGGCGAGUCGAUACUGCCUGCCGAACCCACCGAAACUCUGUUGUGCACAGCCGCCCAGUCCACCAUUGGCGAUGUAGGCAACGCGGUGCUGACAAUACAAUUAGAUUUGAAUAGCAGAUUUGUCAAAAAAAAAGAGAUUCGAACAGCAGUUGUGAAGGGCUCAGUUUGUCAGCGCCCAACCCAGAGCAGUCAACCGGGAAGGAUGAUCCUCAAGCCCCCGGCUGGACGACGAGGUAAACAGAUCCAUUUAUCUGCUCCUGAAUCAAUUAUGUUUGUUCCUUUUUCCAAAUACAAUGCAUGACAUAAGAAAUGCUAAAUCAUGGUACUGCUUACUGCGAUACAUCUCCUAUAUGCCGGAUAGUAGUAGUUAAUUAAGCAAAAAAAUAAUUUUCAGUGCAUGCGUUUAUUUCUUUCCAAAUUACACAGAAUCUGUGUUGACAAUGCACCUCUUGAACGUCCACCCUGUGCUGGAAGGAUAAGUGCCCUGGAAAAAACAUUGAGAUCUAUGCGGAGAAGAAGACUAAAACUAUCGUAAUCCCUGCUGUUGGAGACAAUUUUGAUUCACUUGGAGAAGCUAUGACUAUUUCACUGAAUUCCUGGGAAAUUGGUUUUGGAGUUAGAUAUGGAAAAAGCAGAUUGAACAUCGAGAGGACCAAAUGUAUGCAGGAGAUAGUUUGUGGCUGCUCGGUUAGUAUUACUUUUCGAUUAACCAUCAGCAAGACAAAACUAAGCUGAUGCAUCAUAAAUAAUGCUUUAUGUCAUAUUACUCAUUCAAAUAAUUUUGUCCAGAUUUCUCCGGUUAUGGAAGUGAACACACCACUUGAGUAGCAUGCUAGUGAUAUAUACACUCGAGCGAUGUUUGAAAAUUUUGGUGAGGUCCUGUAUGAAGCUGGACAAUACAAGAUAGAGGAGAUCCGCAAAGGCAAAACAUAUUUUGUGCGGCGCUACCACCCAGAAAAACAUGACAAAUGGUGCAGGGUUGUGUACAAACUGGAAGUUAUUGAUGACGUCGCUGAACUCGUGUGAAUGUGGUGAUUUUGAGCACACAGACUUGCUGUGCUGUCAUGCGCUUAAGGUAACAAAAAGAAUAUUAUGCCGAAGAUGUAUUUUUUUAACUCAUUGCGUUGUUGCUCUUGUGUGUGUGAGCUCGAAAGCAAACAUGUUUAUUUAUCCAGAUAAUUAACCAUGGCAAUUACAAACUAUGCCGUUUUGCAGGUCCUUGAUUUCCUUGGUAUAGACAAGAUACCAGCAAAGCACAUUAUGAAACGUUGGACAAAAGAUGCACGGGAUAUGCUGCCGGUGAUGCAGAAGGUAGCAGAAUUGGUAAUUUCAUGGGCUAAAGGCUCCAGAACGAAAUCGUAAGCUAGGCCGACCCACCACCAGCAGGGACAAGCCUCCAUAUGAUGACCGAGGCGCAAAGAGCAAAAAAUACAAGCAAGCAGCAACUGCAAAACCUGCCGAUGGAUGUGGUAUAAGUAAGCGAACCCGCUUCUGUAGCAUAUGUCGGGAACCAGGUCACAAGAGCACCACAUGCCCACGAAGGGGUGAUCUUCCUCGGAAAGAAGGAAAGAAGCAAAAUGCUCAAACUGUGGCAUCGGUGGUCACAGGAAGAACACAUGCAAUCACCCUAAGGUUGUUCUGCAUGUUGAAAAUGCUACUUCAGAGCAGCAUGCGAUCUGCAUCUGACCCUUGUUACAAUGAAAAUUUGUAGUCUGCUGUUGAGGGCUCAGUAGCCAUUUUCUAAGGAGGACUGUUUCAGUAAUAAACUGCUUAGUCAGUCUGUACUGCUGUAAUCAGUUUGUGUGUCUUUGUUUUCUUGUGUGUGAUGAACAAUAUAUGUGUAAGGUCCCUUUGGAUGUAAUGUGAUGUGUGCAUGAUCACCUACAUUUUCAUUUUAAUGUGUUUCUGUUGGAAAAGAAAAAUCGUUUAGUG
rnacentral:lncRNA from 1 species